rnacentral:rRNA from 1 species
GACGAACGCUGGCGGCGUGCUUAACACAUGCAAGUCGAACGGAAAGGCCCUGCUUUUGUGGGGUGCUCGAGUGGCGAACGGGUGAGUAACACGUGAGUAACCUGCCCUUGACUUUGGGAUAACUUCAGGAAACUGGGGCUACUACCGGAUAGGAGCUCCUGCUGCAUGGUGGGGGUUGGAAGGUUUCGGCGGUUGGGGAUGGACUCGCGGCUUAUCAGCUUGUUGGUGGGGUAGUGGCUUACCAAGGCUUUGACGGGUAGCCGGCCUGAGAGGGUGACCGGCCACAUUGGGACUGAGAUACGGCCCAGACUCCUACGGGAGGCAGCAGUGGGGAAUAUUGCACAAUGGGCGGAAGCCUGAUGCAGCAACGCCGCGUGCGGGAUGACGGCCUUCGGGUUGUAAACCGCUUUCGCCUGUGACGAAGCGUGAGUGACGGUAAUGGGUAAAGAAGCACCGGCUAACUACGUG